CCUAGCAAAGGUCAAGGCACAGCCAUCCACCACCACCUGCCCUCCUCCACUCUGGGAGCUUCCAUUCGGGUUCUGAAAUCUAAGCCUUAUAAGAAGAAACAUCAGAGGGAAUCUGGGGGACUCCUUUAGGAGGUACCAGUUCUAGGGAUUUUGCUGGGCUUUUCAAAGGGCCUUCCAUUGGAUAUUCCCACCUAAAAUGCUUCCGGCUUGCCGUACCUCAGAACACAGUGCUUGGCACAUAGCAGUUUUAAGGUACCAGAUGCAGUCUCCACUGGCGUCACGGCAACAUUGGAACCAGGACUGUGGGAAGGAUGCUGCAGCCAGGCUGGCAGGAAACCCCAAGAAGCCAAGGUGCCUGGAGCUCAAACCCAAGGCAGGUUUUGGACUUGGAACUUAGAAGUAUUCUUUAUUGAGCUAAGCUUAUAUUUCUUUUUUUUUUUUUUAAUAUAUUUUAUUUGAUCAUUUCCAAGCAUUAUUCGUUAAAGACAUAGAUCAUUUUCUUUUCCUCCCCCCCACCCCCCAUAGCCGACGCGUAAGUCCACUGGGCAUUAGAUGU
rnacentral:lncRNA from 1 species